rnacentral:rRNA from 1 species
AGACGGAGGGCGCAAGCGUUGUGCGGAAUUACUGGGCGUAAAGCGCGGGCAGGCGGUCUGUAAAGUCUUCUGUGAAAACCCGGGGCUCAACCCCGUGGAAUGCAGAGGAUACUGGCAGACUGGAGACCGGUAGAGGCUAGCGGAAUUCCUGGUGUAGCGGUGGAAUGCGUAGAUAUCAGGAAGAACACCUGUGGCGAAGGCGGCUAGCUGGGCCGGGUCUGACGCUCAUCCGCGAAAGCGUGGGGAGCAAACAGGAUUAGAUACCCUAGUAGUCC